rnacentral:lncRNA from 1 species
UAAAAACAAAAUUGUCCCAAAGUAUAGGGACUAAAAACAUAUUUAAUCCUUUAUUUUAUUUUGAAUUGUCUUAGAAUUUGUUUAACAUCAUUUUAGAGUGAAAUUUAUUUAGAUUUGAAUUAUUUAUAUUUUUUAUUUGAAAAAAAAAACUUAUAAUUAACUAAGCGAGUGAACCAAUCCAUUUAACCCACCAAUUCGUA